GACGUAGGAUGCAAGCGUUGUCCGGAUUUAUUGGGCGUAAAGAGUUCGUAGGCGGUCUGUUAAGUCUGAUGUUAAAGAUCGAGGCUCAACCUCGGGAGUGCAUUGGAUACUGGCAGGCUUGAGUAUGGUAGAGGCGAGUGGAAUUCCCAGUGUAGCGGUGAAAUGCGUAGAUAUUGGGAAGAACACCGGUGGCGUAAGCGACUCGCUGGGCCAUAACUGACGCUGAGGAACGAAAGCCAGGGGAGCGAAGGGG
rnacentral:rRNA from 1 species